rnacentral:tRNA from 1 species
GCCUAGGUGGCUCAGUUGGUUAAGCAUCUGACUUCAGCUCAGGUCAUGAUCUCACGGUUUGUGAGUUCGAGCCCCACAUCAGGCG